rnacentral:rRNA from 1 species
AAACUCUGAUAUCAUGUGGUCCGAGUCAUAUGCAAUAACUAAAACUUUCAACAACGGAUCUCUUGGUUCUGGCAUCGAUGAAGAACGCAGCGAAAUGCGAUAAGUAAUGUGAAUUGCAGAAUUCAGUGAAUCAUCGAAUCUUUGAACGCACAUUGCGCCCCUUGGUAUUCCGAGGGGCAUACCUGUUCGAGCGUCAUUA